UGGGUUUGGGGCCUCCCCUAUGGGGCUGCGCGCCCCACCCUUUUUUUUUAAACCCAAAAGUGCCCUACGGAAAGGUACUUUCCGUAUUCAAUUUAACUGAAUACGAAAAGGUACUUUCCGUAUUAUAUUUUGAUGAAUACGGAAAGGUAUUUUCCGUAUUUAACUCUGACAGGAUUCCCCCUUUUUCCACCAUUACUCCUCCCUCACCAACUUUCACCAACCCCUCACCAGCCCCCCUGAACCUCCUCAAUGCCUCCAGACCACCCUCUCUCUCACCCUCUCCUACCUCACUUUCAUUCCCAAGCUCUCCACCACCAUCCACUCCUUCAUUUCCCAAGCUCUCCACCACUACAACAAGUGUUGUAGUAGAGGGAUGACAGAUUCAUUUUUCUUUGGUGAGUCACAAUUGAUUGAAGCUGGAUUUCACAAUGGUCAACCUGAAGAGGCCACUACAGAGGUGCCACCACCAGCAUUUGUGCCCCCGUGUAUAAGUAUAGAUGUCUCGCAUUUAUUUGCAACUGAUCAGAUUUUCCCUACCCGUGAUGAUCUUAUCAAUUGGGUUCAUGGAAUUGCGAUUGAAAAUGGAUAUGUUACGUUGAUCACAAAGUCAGAUUAUGGUGGGAAUGGAAGCAGAAAAGCUUAUGUCAUGUUGGGGUGCGA